ACCAGCAAUCACAUUCUGUUCUAGAAGCUCAGUAGAUUCAGUCCUGGGAGAGGAACUUGAGCAAAGGAAAGGGAAGUUACUGAGGAGAGAUGCGUCAGAGCCGAUUCAAAGAUCCAUCAGUCAAUUACAGUUGAGAUCUUAGUGUUUUUGUAUUUUGGCCAAAACUGGACUAGAUGGUGUCAACUAGAGCAAAAUUAUUUCUGAAUUACUGCAUCACCGUGAAAAGAGGAUGGACUAACCUUCUGGUUCCAGGAGAAAGACGACAGACUUGGAAACUGAAUUGGCCCAUCCACUGCAGCUGAAAUCUGCCACCUUAACCUCCUGCAGAGCUUCAAUGAGAAGCAGAGAUCAGCCAAGGGCCUCUGAGCACCUAGACAACUCAGAGAUGUGUGAAUGGUGAUACAGAAUUGCUGCUUUAAACCCCUCAGCUUUGUGGUAGUUACACGGGAAUAGCUACUACAAGGAAGUGGCACAGACCCCGGACCCAGAGCUGAUACACAGGAUGUCACUGGGAGAAACAGGGAAAGAAUGUGCUUAUCUUCCAAUGUCUACGGUUUCACAUUCUGGGAUUUCAGUUACCUGCAUUUAACAGAGGCUGCCUGACAAUAUUAAAUUAAAAAUUCCCAAAGUAAACAAUUUGUAAGUUUUAGAAUGCAUACCAUUCUGAAUAUCAUAACUAAAUCUCAUGCUAUUUUACUUUGUUCUUCUCA
rnacentral:lncRNA from 1 species